UCUAUUUUUUCGUCAUGAACUCAUGGGCCGUGAGGAGGGCAUCUUAUUUCCAGUAUAAAAACCAGACACACAAGUUGCAGCCCAUUUUAUUGAUCUGUGAAGGAACAACGAGGGAACAAGAGAGCCGCCUUUAGGGCUCCUGCAGCCGCUUUUCACCUUCGACAACAACUGGGUAUUGCUAACUUUUUUGUUUCUCUAAUUGAAUCUUGUAGUACCUAAAUUUACACUACUUCUGCUUUUAGCAUGAGGCUUAAAUAUUCCUUGCUAGGAAAAAAAUGAUUUGGUGGUAAAACCAGUUACAACAGUUUUGAUGGGACCAUAAUUUCAUUUUAUCCGAUGAUUCGUAUGAAUCCUGGAUCAUUAAUGGUGAAAUUUGGGGGGUUAUUAGGGUUGAUUGUGAGGAAGGAACAGUAUUUAUCUGCAUAUUCUUUGUGAAAAUAAAUGUAAUUGCUAGGAAUCGUGCACAAUGCGUAUACUUGUAAACAUCUUCAUUAACUGCCCGUGCCCUUCCCCCUUGGCAUUUGAUUUUGCUUUUUCUGUUUUGGCAUUUAACCAUUCUGUAUGAGCUCUGAAUGCUAAUGUCAAUGUUUAAAUUUACAAUGUUAUGAUGGAUGGAUAUUGUUUGCAAAGAGAAGCGAAUGAGCAUAGAAAAGAGUUAAGAUACAGUGGUUGGAAAAUGUUAUGCAUUUGAUCUUCAUAGUCAUAACAUCUUGAACAAUGGCCAUUGUAAGAGUAAGUGGUCCAUGAGUCAAUAACUCUCUUUGCAGAAAUGCAUGACAAAGCAUUGACUCCUAUUUCACCCUUACAAUGUCCAUUGAUUAAGAGGUUAUAACAUUGUUAUCAAGGGGUUUUUUCCCAAAAACUCCACAUCAAGUGCAGUUCAAGUUCUCAGGAAAAAUGGUCAAUGGAAGAUUCCAGUGUAUCCAUUCACGGUAAGCAUGGAUAUGGUUCAGGUAUCAAAUGUCAAGAUUAUACCGUGUUUCCAUGAGGAGAUUCUCAAAAUGGGAACUUCAAGCGAAAUUCUCAUUUUCCGUUCAGCAGUGAUGUGGUUGUCCAUCUUCAAAACAAUUAGGCUGCUAUACCUCAUAUAAAUACCGGCGUAUCCAGAAGAAACUUUGAAAUUGUCCCGGUGCGCUUCCAAGGGGUUGCUUUUUGGGACUGAUUUUGUCAAUUUUAAAAGAAAACAACCUCUAUAAAUUGAGACGACGAAAUCUUUGCCUAUUGCUUGUUUUAGGUUCUAAGAUUGACGAUAUCAAAUUAAUAAUGGCAUUUGAGAUGAUGAACUCUCUGCCUAUUAACCUGUUUUAGGCACCAAGAUUGACGGUAUCAAUAUAAUAAUGUCAUUUGAUUCUGUUGAUUGGGGAGUUCUUUUCUAUUUAUUUUAGCCUCUGCAAUUCAUUUCUAAGUUUGAUGAUUGAGAUCCAGUUGAAUCACAGAAUACAUAUUCUCACUUUCAUAUCUCAACUAAUUGAGAGUCAAGAUCAAGAAGGGCCUUUUCCCCUUGUCAUUUUGUGAUUGUCAUGUAAAUUCUCUUGAGAAUGCUUAUCAGGAGGCUUAUCUCUUCAUCAAAGUGUGAUACGACACCUCAAGAUUUGCUGCUGUUCUUCACAAAAAGAAGUGGUUAGGCUAUAUUCAAUAACUGUAGCAAUUCGUGCUGUCACGAAUCCAAAACUGACGAGUGGGGUUAUUGACAAGGCAAUAUACAACAAGGGUUCUUAUAAGUAUAAUUUGUUAAUGUGUUGCAGAAUGUACAAGGAUAUUUGAAGGUCAAGGAGAUGGGAUGAGCUCAUGCCUGCCAUGAAUACGAGAGAGAUCCUUCAAGUUUAGGAGAAAAGGUGUGGGAGUAAAUCAGCAGAGAUGGUCUGCGGACAAGUUGUUUAGGCUGAUUGGUUGCGUCUAUUUAUGCGUUGCGCCGAUGAGAUUUCAAUGGAGCAAAUUCUUAGCUAGCUCUUCCUUUUUCUGGACUGUAUCUUUCUUACACAAUCUUAAACAUGUACCGUCACCGGAGAUGUGAAAGCUGGGAUGGUUCAACAACAAAGAGGGAAUACACAUUCUGUGAACAAGGAAAUCCGAAUCUCUCCUCUUUUUUUAAUUUUUCUAUAAA